CUCCAAUAAUGAUAGCAAUUUUUCUAAAAAGAAAUCCGACUGGGGAGGUCAAAAUAUGAUAACUGAACUCCGCUCAGAAUAAUUUUUUCAUUAACAAUGGUUCAUCGUUGCUAACAAAUACAUGUACAUUAAAUUACCUAUGAUGGUGUUUGUACCCGUCCGUAUUACCCUAGGACGUCUUUUUGCACACGCGCUUCGUUUGUAUCUAUUG